UUAUCCGGAUGUAUUGGGUUUAAAGGGUGCGUAGGCGGCAAGGUAAGUCAGCGGUGAAAGACCAGGGCUCAACUCUGGAAGUGCCGUUGAUACUGUCUGGCUAGAAUGAUUCCGCCGUGGGAGGAAUGAGUAGUGUAGCGGUGAAAUGCAUAGAUAUUACUCAGAACACCGAUUGCGAAGGCAUCUCACGAGGGGUUCAUUGACGCUGAGGCACGAAAGCGUGGGGAUCGAACAGGAUUAGAUACCCUGGUAGUCCACGCAGUAAACGAUGAUGGCUAACUGUCGGGCCUUCGGGUUCGGCGGCCAAGCGAAAGCGAUAAGCCAUCCACCUGGGGAGUACGACCGCAAGGUUGAAACUCAAAGGAAUUGACGGGGGCCCGCACAAGCGGAGGAACAUGUGGUUUAAUUCGAUGAUACGCGAGGAA
rnacentral:rRNA from 1 species